GCAAGGAAGUGCCUCUUUUGCACAGGGAAUGAAGAGGAUGGAACUAUCCGGAGUCGACGCCUAUGCUAAAUUCUAUCAAAACAAGAGUGGCGAGUUCGUGACCGAGGAGGCGAGGCAGCAUCAU